ACGGGAGGCAGCAGUGGGGAAUAUUGGACAAUGGGGGCAACCCUGAUCCAGCGACGCCGCGUGAGUGAAGAAGUAUUUCGGUAUGUAAAGCUCUAUCAGUAGGGAAGAAAAAUGACAGUACCUAACUAAGAAGCCCCGGCUAACUACGUGCCAGCAGCCGCGGUAAUACGUAGGGGGCAAGCGUUAUCCGGAUUUACUGGGUGUAAAGGGAGCGCAGGCGGCGAGGCAAGUCAGAUGUGAAAGCCCGGGGCUCAACCCCGGGACUGCAUUUGAAACUGUCUUGCUAGAGUGUCGGAGAGGUAAGUGGAAUUCCUAGUGUAGCGGUGAAAUGCGUAGAUAUUAGGAGGAACACCAGUGGCGAAGGCGGCUUACUGGACGAUUACUGACGCUGAGGCUCGAAAGCGUGGGGAGCAAACAGGAUUAGAUACCCUGGUA
rnacentral:rRNA from 3 species